UGGCUCAGUUGGUAGAGCAUGAUGCUUGCAAUGUCAGGGUUGUGGGUUUGAUUCCCAU
rnacentral:tRNA from 1 species